UACAGAGGUCCCAAGCGUUGUUCGGAUUCACUGGGCGUAAAGGGUGCGUAGGCGGUCGGGUAAGUCGGAUGUGAAAUCCCCAGGCUUAACCUGGGAACUGCAUCCGAUACUGGUCGGCUUGAAUCCGGGAGAGGGAUGCAGAAUUCCAGGUGUAGCGGUGAAAUGCGUAGAUAUCUGGAGGAAUACCGGUGGCGAAGGCGGCAUCCUGGACCGGCAUUGACGCUGAACAGCGAAAGCUAGGGGAGCAAACGGG
rnacentral:rRNA from 1 species